GUCUCCUGCCUUUGCACCACAAUGUAAGGCUCUUGACUACAGCUCCAGUGCCUCGCUUGCAUGCAGCCAGCUCGCUCCCGUGAUGGUCCUGGACUAGCCCUCGGAAACUGAGCUGGAAUCAAAGAAGUGUGACAGUCCAGGGCAGCUUCAGAAUCCCUCAACUGCCUGGUUUAUGCUGCACUGGGCAUAGAAUCCAGAGCUGCUCGCAUGCUAGGCAAGUGCUCUACCAACUGAGUCACAUCCCCGCUGGACACAGCUUCUAAAUGAUGGCUCCAUGCUACCAGCUCAAGUGACAGCUCACAUAAGAGGACGUGGAAGAAGGAAGCUUUUGCCUUGUGCCUAUUUGCCCUCGCUCUCACUGGCAAGUUCAUCUAUCCAGUUACCGAGGCACUGGAUUCCGAU